AGUGAACGCUGGCGGUAGGCCUAACACAUGCAAGUCGAACGGCAGCACAGUAAGAGCUUGCUCUUACGGGUGGCGAGUGGCGGAUGGGUGAGGAAUACAUCGGAAUCUACUUUUUCGUGGGGGAUAACGUAGGGAAACUUACGCUAAUACCGCAUACGACCUACGGGUGAAAGCAGGGGAUCUUCGGACCUUGCGCGAUUGAAUGAGCCGAUGUCGGAUUAGCUAGUUGGCGGGGUAAAGGCCCACCAAGGCGACGAUCCGUAGCUGGUCUGAGAGGAUGAUCAGCCACACUGGAACUGAGACACGGUCCAGACUCCUACGGGAGGCAGCAGUGGGGAAUAUUGGACAAUGGGCGCAAGCCUGAUCCAGCCAUACCGCGUGGGUGAAGAAGGCCUUCGGGUUGUAAAGCCCUUUUGUUGGGAAAGAAAAGCAGCAUGUUAAUACCCCGCUGUUCUGACGGUACCCAAAGAAUAAGCACCGGCUAACUUCGUG
rnacentral:rRNA from 1 species